rnacentral:lncRNA from 1 species
AUGUGUUUCUUUCUUUUUACCAAACAGGAAAGCAGAAUGAGACAAGAAAGUAGAUCGUGCUCAGAAAAUAAGCUAGUUAAAAGAAACAGUAGCCCUGUUUCUGAAUUCAGUGAGCAACAAAGUCAGGAUGAUCCUUCUGGAAGCUUCAGAUUAAUGCAGGACAUACAGACCAAGAUGGACUCUGGUUCUCUACUGCAUUCUUAUGCCACACCAUGGAUACCGGAAGCAGAACAGCGAGGUGGUGCUGAUUCUGUCAAAGAUCCAGAGAAGCAAACAGAUAGAAACCCUGAAUGCAGUAUUUCACAACUGGAAGCCUGCUUUGACCUUUCAGCAUGCCCUAUUAAAGACAUACAGGAUAUAGAGUCUGAAUCUGGCUCAAGUCUUUUGAGAUCUUCCAGCCAUCAGGAAAUGGAGAAAGAGAAGUCUGGAGUGAAAACAAGUAAUUCUGAAAAACAAUUCAUGAGAGAGAAAGAAGAGACUUUCCAGCCAACAGAGAGUGGGAAAGCAGCAGCUGGCAAGAGCUUUGGUAUUGAAAACCAAAAGAGAAGAGAACCACAGGGAAGAAAAGGGCCCAGGCAGAGAGCGAGCGAGCUGCAGCGAGGAGGCAGGAGGCCCUCCCAGAGCCCACAGCAGAGAGAGGAGCGCAGGGCCCAUGCACAGACCCAGCCAGCCCUGCUGCUGGCAGCGGUGAGGCAGCCAGCAGCUGCCCUGCCUCCCCCUCUCCUCCUGAGGAGGAAGAUGAAGCCCUCCCUGAUGACCACCAGGCCCACAGAGGUGAUGGUGGCAUUCCCCCUGCAUUGAGCCACUCGCCUCCAAC